rnacentral:rRNA from 1 species
UCGAGAAUCUUCGGCAAUGGGCGCAAGCCUGACCGAGCGACGCCGCGUGGAGGACGAAGGCCUUCGGGUUGUAAACUCCUGUCGAGGGGGAAGAAGGCCGGGUAACCGGCUUGACUGAUCCCUGGAGGAAGCACGGGCUAAGUUCGUGCCAGCAGCCGCGGUAAGACGAACCGUGCGAACGUUAUUCGGAAUCACUGGGCUUAAAGCGCGUGUAGGUGGGACGGCACGUCGGUCGUUGAAAUCCCCCGGCUCAACCGGGGAAGGGGCGCCGAUACGACCGUCCUGGAGGGACGUAGGGGGACCUGGAACUUCCGGUGGAGCGGUGAAAUGCGUUGAGAUCGGAAGGAACGCCCGUGGCGAAAGCGAGGUCCUGGACGUUUUCUGACACUGAGACGCGAAAGCCAGGGGAGCGAACGG